UCUCCUGGAAAACGGGUGGUAAUGCCGGAUGCUCCAGUUGGAUGCAUGUCCUUCUGGGAAAGAUUCUAUCGGUAUGGGAUGGGGUCGCGUCCUAUCAGCUUGAUGGCGGGGUAACGGCCCACCAUGGCUUCGACGGGUAGCCGGCCUGAGAGGGCGACCGGCCACAUUGGGACUGAGAUACGGCCCAGACUCCUACGGGAGGCAGCAGUGGGGAAUAUUGCACAAUGGGCGCAAGCCUGAUGCAGCGACGCCGCGUGCGGGAUGACGGCCUUCGGGUUGUAAACCGCUUUUGACUGGGAGCAAGCCCUUCGGGGUGAGUGUACCUUUCGAAUAAGCACCGGCUAACUACGUGCCAGCAGCCGCGGUAAUACGUAGGGUGCAAGCGUUAUCCGGAAUUAUUGGGCGUAAAGGGCUCGUAGGCGGUUCGUCGCGUCCGGUGUGAAAGUCCAUCGCUUAACGGUGGAUCCGCGCCGGGUACGGGCGGGCUUGAGUGCGGUAGGGGAGACUGGAAUUCCCGGUGUAACGGUGGAAUGUGUAGAUAUC
rnacentral:rRNA from 1 species